rnacentral:rRNA from 1 species
AUGGAGAGGAUGGCCAACUCCUACUUUAAGGAGAUUUUCACUAAAGAUCCUACCCUGAAUCCGCAUGAGGUGCUGGACAAUAUUGUUACUAAGGUGUCAGCGGAGAUGAAUGACACCUUGUGUAAGCCAUACUCGGAGGAGGAGAUUUCAAAUGCUCUUUUUCAGAUCGGGCCCCUAAAAGCUCCAGGCUGUGAUGGUUUCCCGGCAAGGUUUUAUCAAAGGAAUUGGGCUGUUUUGAAGGUGGAAAUAGUGGCUGGAGUGCAGGAGUUUUUUGUUACUGGCAUCAUGCCAGAUGAUGUUAACGACACGGCAAUUGUGUUAAUUCCAAAAGUGCCCCACCCUAAGGAACUAAAGGAUUUCCACCCCAUUAGUCUGUGUAAUGUGGUGUACAAGAUCGUGUCUAAAUGCAUGGUGAACAGGCUCCGGCCGCUCCUGUCUGAGCUUGUCUCUGACAAUCAGAGUGCAUUCAUUCCAGGAGGCUAA